GACCUCAAAUCAAACAAGACGACCCGCUGAAUUUAAGCAUAUUACUAAGCGGAGGAAAAGAAACUAACCAGGAUUCCCUCAGUAGCGGCGAGGGAAGAGGGAAGAGCC
rnacentral:rRNA from 1 species